GAUUAACGCUGGCGGCGUGCCUAAUACAUGCAAGUCGAGCGAACAGAUAAGGAGCUUGCUCCUUUGACGUUAGCGGCGGACGGGUGAGUAACACGUGGGUAACCUACCUAUAAGACUGGAAUAACUCCGGGAAACCGGGGCUAAUGCAGGAUAACAUGUUGAACCGCAUGGUUCUACAGUGAAAGGCGGCUUUGCUGUCACUUAUAGAUGGACCCGCGCCGUAUUAGCUAGUUGGUGAGGUAACGGCUCACCAAGGCAACGAUACGUAGCCGACCUGAGAGGGUGAUCGGCCACACUGGAACUGAGACACGGUCCAGACUCCUACGGGAGGCAGCAGUAGGGAAUCUUCCGCAAUGGGCGAAAGCCUGACGGAGCAACGCCGCGUGAGUGAUGAAGGUCUUCGGAUCGUAAAACUCUGUUAUUAGGGAAGAACAAAUGCGUAAGUAACUGUGCGCGUCUUGACGGUACCUAAUCAGAAAGCCACGGCUAACUACGUG
rnacentral:rRNA from 1 species